GCCGGCACAGUGGUGAGUGCCUAUAGUCCCAGCUACUUGGGAGGCUGAGGUGGGAGGAUUGCUUGAGCCCAGGAGUUCUGGGCUGUAGUGCACUAGGCUGAUUGGGUGUCAGUACUAAGAUCGGCAUCGAUAUGGUGAGCUCCCAGGAGCGGGGGACCACCAGGUGGCCUAAGGAGGAAGGGUGAACUGACCCAGGUCAGAAACGGAGCACGUCAAAACUCCUGUGCUGAUCAGUAGUGGGAUCGCGCCUGUGAAUAGGCGCGAUCACUCCAGCCUGGGCAAUAUAGCGAGACCCUGUCUCU
rnacentral:SRP_RNA from 1 species